UGCCGAGGAUGGGGAUGCAGCAGAUGCCUGGUACCCAGGACUACAGCAUCUAAAUGCUUUUGAACGUGAACCUCACUCCUUAGCUCUCCCCUUCGUGGUGUUUCAGCAGGACUAUUGCGCCAGCAUUCGCACUCGGCUCAGCUCCCUGCCCCCAGCCCUCCCCCCUUGGAAGUGCCUCCCCCUGCAGCCAGAGGGACGUUCUGAAGCUCCAGUGGGGCCUUCACUUGCCUGCAUCAGACUCUUCUGUGGCUCUCCAGUACCCAGAGCAGGUUCUCAGCCCUGACUACACGACAGAAUCCCCUGGAAGCUGCAAAAAUACAUCAGUUCUCAAGCUUCACCCAGACCAAAUGAAUCAGAAUGCAGGGAACAGGCACUGAUCAUUUUUAAAAGCUCCUAGGGGAAACGAUGCCUUCCCGUUGGAGACAUUUGGCUGAUUCACCUUGACCAAGUUAUUAAACCCAGCACCACCCACAGCGGGACCCGCUCACGUCAUCUACUCCUGAUGUGAUGUGAAGAGCCCUCUGACCUCCUGCUCCAAACUGUACUGCUGUUCUCUGGGCAUGAUGCGCAGCUGGGCAUCCUCUUCAAUCCUCAGCUCGACUGGACCUCACUGCCUGCAUCCCAUGCAUUAUCCUUUCUUGGUUCAUUCCUUCAUUGUGAUGGAGCUUUUCCUCCAAAAGCUUUCUCAGAAAAGAUGCAGAGGAGGCAAAUGUUCUGAGAUUUUGUGUGUCUGAAAAUGUCUUUAUUCCAUCCUCACACUUGACUGGAAGUUUUUGGGAUUUUCUCUUUAUCUUGGGAUUGUACCACUUUAGGCCUUCUUGCAUCAUUGGACUGGGCAUCAUGUCCUCCAGUUCCGGGAACUUUUCUUAUAUUAUUUCUUAUAUUUUCUUAUGUUUCUUGUAUCAUUCCUUUGGUAAUAUCCUCCAUACUCCUUUCUCUGAUUUCUCUUCCUAGAACUCCUACUGGAUCUUCUGAAAUGAGCUUUUAAUUUUUAAAAAUCUCUUCUUUCCUGUUUUCUACCUUUGCCUUUUUCCUCCUACUUCCUGGAGAUUUCCCCAAAUUUCUCAUCGAACCCUGUUAUUAAAUUUCUUAUUUUAGCCAUCAUUUCUAAUUUCCAAGAAUAUUUUAUGAUCUCUGGCUCUUCCUUCUUUACAGGUUAUAUUUGUGUCUCAUGGAUGCAGUACCAUCUCAUCUUUCUGAGGAUAUUAUAGUUUAUGUUGUCGUUUUCUUUAUCUCUGGGUAUUAUAUCUGCUUCUUCUGGUGGCUUUUUUCUGACUGUUUGUUUUGAUCUCUAUUUUUUGUGUUGGAGACUUUCUUCAAAUAUUUGAUGGAACUUGACUGUGCCUCUGUGUCCAAAUGCUCCAGGAAAUUCUGGGGACGAGGAGACUGGUGAGCUUCCUUGUGGGGUGAUCAGGUGGUCCGUGGUGUUUUCAUUUAGGACCCUCUGCCUUCAGAUGCGUAGACUGGGGCUUUCUUCUCUCUGCUAAGUCGUUUAUC
rnacentral:lncRNA from 1 species